rnacentral:lncRNA from 1 species
GGAAAUCCUAUUUCUUUUAGACAAGGAAAAAAUACUUUUGCAAGCCUAUACACAUUUCCAAAAUCUCAUCUAUACCAGCAUUCCUUGAAAAACAGCAUGGGAAACAUCCUUAUAGGCCAUACAGUUGUUUCGAUUGCCUCCAUCACCAGAGAAGGAAGAUGAGACCAAAUGGGUGUGGGGAGAGUUAAGAAGAUAAAAAGCCCGGCGUUCAUUUUCCCUCCUCCUUCUCUCGCACGAACCUUCUGAGUGGCGGUGAGCUUUGAGGCAUGCGCUAAGGGGAAAGGUUGCCUUUUCCCUGAACUGUAGCAAUUCCAGUUAUGGAUGAGGAGCGAAAACAACAAAUACGAGCUUCCCAGUCCCCAUCGAAGAGGCGGUUUCCCCCAGACACAAGUGUGCUAGAAAGGAUUUAUUACUGCACAUGCCCAGUGAUUAAUAGGCAGAUACGUCAGAUGUCUCAAUGUUUGUUGUCCUGCACAAAAGGCGGAUGGACACAUUUGGUCUGGGGAAAUUGAUGAAUCAGCUGAAAGCCCCCAGCAGGAGACCAGAAACAUCAGCGGUUCAAAACAGGCCAGAUGACCUCCUUCAAACACACACCUAAACCAUUCUCAGGGCCUCUACUGUGAGCCUCAGACACACAUGAGAGACCCUGGGUCUCUCCGUGUGAUCUAUGUCAGUCAUCUUAGGGGUGUAUCGACCACUGGCGAUGUUUCCACUUACUCCUCUUUAGAAUGAAAGAGAGUUCACAAAGGCUACUGUGUCAUGAAGCAUAAGGGAACCGGGAGGUUGGGUGAUUCACCUGCUUGGAGAUGUUGGGAAGGAAAACAAAAUGGCAACAAUUAGAAAAAGUGACUGUGUACCUACUCCGUUGAUUACUCCUCUUGAGAUCGAUAGAUACCUAUACGCAUAUACACAGACGUACAUGCAUAUAUAGACAUACGCGCACACGUCUGUCUGUGUGCACGUCGUAUGGGAAACUACGUACAGACCGGCGGUGGAGGCAUUAAUUUGCGUUCAGAAGAAAACACUGAAUCUCAGAGGUUAGGAAACUUGCUCGUUGACACAGACUCUGUAAAUGACAAAUCUCAUGACUUGGGGCACGUCUCGAACUGUUCUGAGCCUUAGCUGAAAUGAAAAUCGAUGCUUGCCACCGGGAAUCCUUGAAACACUGUACCUGAGACCACCUCUGGGCCUGACACGAAGCAGCGGGUCGUUACACGUAUGUUGCGAUAAAUUUGGCCCCGGGGACCGCCAGGUGCCAUCUCCAGGCGGAUGGACCCUGGAGGAGCCGAAAAGCCACUCCCUGUUUAACUCUGGGGCCGCCGUAAAGGUGACUGUGCGCACUACUGGAAUGGAUUCUCUGUGAUACGAGCAGAAGUCAGAAUACAGCAUGCCACCCUCAUUACGCUUUAAUUGAACUACAAUGUACAUCACCGCUUGGCAUAGGCCCUUUGAAGUGCGGGCAUCACCACCCUGCCUCAUGGGAACGUGCGCCGUUACCACCAGCGUAACUGU